GUCGAACGGGGUCGGACUUCGGUUCCGGCUUACGUGGCGCACGGGUGAGUAACACGUGGGAAUCUGCCCAUCUAUGGGGAAUAACUGCGGGAAACUGCAGCUAAUACCGCAUACGCCCUUCGGGGGAAAGGCUUCGGCCGUAGAUGGAUGAGCCCGCGUCCGAUUAGCUAGUUGGUGGGGUAAUGGCCUACCAAGGCGACGAUCGGUAGCUGGUCUGAGAGGAUGAUCAGCCACACUGGGACUGAGACACGGCCCAGACUCCUACGGGAGGCAGCAGUGGGGAAUAUUGGACAAUGGGCGAAAGCCUGAUCCAGCAAUGCCGCGUGAGUGAUGAAGGUCUUCGGAUUGUAAAGCUCUUUCGACGGGGAAGAUAAUGACGGUACCCGUAGAAGAAGCCCCGGCUAACUUCGUGCCAGCAGCCGCGGUAAUACGAAGGGGGCUAGCGUUGUUCGGAUUUACUGGGCGUAAAGCGUGCGUAGGCGGCUUAUCAAGUCAGAAGUGAAAGCCCGGGGCUCAACUCCGGAAUGGCUUUUGAGACUGGUAGGCCGGAGUUCGGGAGAGGGUAGUGGAAUUCCCAGUGUAGAGGUGAAAUUCGUAGAUAUUGGGAAGAACACCGGUGGCG
rnacentral:rRNA from 1 species